rnacentral:rRNA from 1 species
UACGUAGGUGGCUAGCGUUGUCCGGAUUUACUGGGCGUAAAGAGCGCGCAGGCGGUCGUUCAAGUCGAGUGUGAAAGCCCCCGGCUCAACUGGGGAGGGUCACUCGAUACUGGUCGACUCGAAGGCAGGAGAGGGAAGCGGAAUUCCCGGUGUAGUGGUGAAAUGCGUAGAUAUCGGGAGGAACACCAGUGGCGAAGGCGGCUUUCUGGCCUGCUCUUGACGCUGAGGCGCGAAAGCUAGGGUAGCAAACGGG